rnacentral:rRNA from 1 species
UACGUAGGGGGCAAGCGUUGUCCGGAAUCAUUGGGCGUAAAGAGCGUGUAGGCGGCCAGAAAAGUCCGCUGUGAAAACUCGAGGCUCAACUUCGAGCUGUCGGUGGAAACUUUCUGGCUAGAGUCCGGAAGAGGAGAAUGGAAUUCCUGGUGUAGCGGUGAAAUGCGCAGAUAUCAGGAAGAACACCCGUGGCGAAGGCGGUUCUCUGGGACGGUACUGACGCUGGGACGCGAAAGCGUGGGGAGCGAACAGG